rnacentral:tRNA from 1 species
GCCCGGUUAGCUCAGUCGGUAGAGCACCAGACUCUUAAUCUGGCUGUCGCGGG